UUUGCCGCCGGACGAGGCGGGCCGCGAGGGUUGGGGAACCCGAUGACCGGUCCGGUUCGAGACCGCCCCGGGUACUAGGGAGCCCGGGCCGGGCGCUCCGGCGAAGGAG
rfam:Actinomyces sp. CtC 72 NODE_6_length_129491_cov_25.1056_ID_11, whole genome shotgun sequence.